rnacentral:tRNA from 1 species
GCCGGAGUGGUGAAAUGGCAGACACGCAGGAUUUAGGAUCCUGUGCCGCAAGGCGUGGAGGUUCAAGUCCUCUCUCCGGCA